rnacentral:tRNA from 1 species
GAUCUGAUAGCUCAGUGGUUAGAGUAUCUGGGAUCUUUUCAGAGGGCCUGGGUUCAAUCCCCAGUCUGGUCA